AACGCACCUUGCGCUCUCUGGUAUUCCGGAGAGCAUGCCUGUUUGAGUGUCAUGAACUCUUCAACCCACCAUUUUCUUGUAAAGUGUGCUGGAGUUUGGAUUUUGAGCUUUGCAUUUUUCUUGAAAAAAUGCUAGCUCGUAAUACAUUAGCAUUCUCAAUUUCGAACCUCGGAUUGACUCAGCGUAAUAGACUAUUCGCUGAGGACAUUGAAUUUAUUUCAAUGGCCGAAUUGUAGAUAACAGUAGAAGCUUCCAACCCUUCUAGUCAAAUCUUUAGAUUUAGACCUCAGAUCAGGCAGGAUUACCCGCUGAACUUAA
rnacentral:misc_RNA from 1 species